UCCCUCUGGUGACCUGAUGAUAGGGGAGCUGGCGACCGAAGCCCCGGUGAACGGCGGCCGUAACAGUCCUAAGAUAGCGAAAUUUCUUGUCGGGUAAGUUUUGACCCGCACGAAAGA
rnacentral:ncRNA from 1 species